AGGACGAACGCUGGCGGCGUGCUUAACACAUGCAAGUCACGGGGGUCCCGCAAGGGAUAACCGGCGAACGGGUGCGUAACACGUGAACAACCUGCCCUCGUGUGGGGGAUAGCCGGGCUAACGCCCGGGUAAUACCGCAUACGUUCUCUGAAGGGAGUCCUUUGGAGAGGAAAGCUCCGGCGCACGGGGAGGGGUUCGCGGCCUAUCAGCUAGUUGGCGGGGUAAUGGCCCACCAAGGCGACGACGGGUAGCU
rnacentral:rRNA from 1 species